AGUGAACGCUGGCGGUAGGCCUAACACAUGCAAGUCGAACGGCAGCACAGUAAGAGCUUGCCCUUACGGGUGGCGAGUGGCGGACGGGUGAGGAAUACAUCGGAAUCUACUUUUUCGUGGGGGAUAACGUAGGGAAACUUACGCUAAUACCGCAUACGGCCUACGGGUGAAAGCAGGGGAUCUUCGGACCUUGCGCGAUUGAAUGAGCCGAUGUCGGAUUAGCUAGUUGGCGGGGUAAAGGCCCACCAAGGCGACGAUCCGUAGCUGGUCUGAGAGGAUGAUCAGCCACACUGGAACUGAGACACGGUCCAGACUCCUACGGGAGGCAGCAGUGGGGAAUAUUGGACAAUGGGCGCAAGCCUGAUCCAGCCAUACCGCGUGGGUGAAGAAGGCCUUCGGGUUGUAAAGCCCUUUUGUUGGGAAAGAAAAGCAGCAGGUUAAUACCCCGCUGUUCUGACGGUACCCAAAGAAUAAGCACCGGCUAACUUCGUG
rnacentral:rRNA from 1 species